UUAGAACACGACUGGUGUCAAAUGCUCUGUCACAGGCAUACAAGCCUGUUGGAAGGAGUGCAUUGAGGCUGCAGCGCCCAGAUGAUAAACCUGAGUUAGCUGUCACCAGCAACCAAGCUUACGGUUAAUUUCUGAAACAAGAUUAGUGAUAGUAUUUCCAGGCAGCUGGCACAGAAGCUUCUUGGAUUACAGUGCUGACAACACACAUUCACCAGAGCCAGCAAUUACAAAAAAAUUCCCCACUCCCACCAGACCUUGAAGGACAGAGACCAAUUUAGGUUUCUUCACUCUCACGAAGGGGAGCAAUGAAGAUAACAUAACUAAAAUGGAUACACCACCUCAGACGCCUUCCGUUUCAUUUCCUUGCAUAACACAUCACACUCCAGUGAAACUUGGCCUUCUUGUAUCUUGCUGCACUGUACUUCCUGUUAAGUAUAAAUUGAAUUGUUUGUAAUUCAUUUCCCUAUAUAAAAAUUUAAUUAUAACGUUCAUUUUGUUGGGAAAAUUGUAAAACAAUUUUAUUCGGUAUAUUUACAGAAUGAAGCUAAUAAAUAAAUAUUAUUUGAAACUGUAACUGUAUUCAAGCAUCCUUUUCUAUUUUCCUUCUUUCUGAUAAGCUAAACUGAAUCAAGAAUAAAUCAAGUGGUUCAGUUUAA